GGGGAAGCCAGCUGUCUUCUCCUCUGCUCCUCCCCCUUUUCUCCCCUCUGGCUCUGCCCUCUCCUGCUCUCCCAGCAUCUCAGGGGUUUCAGCUGGCACCGAUCUUCAUUGUGUUCCUGCAACUCAAUUGCUCCCCGAUCUCCACGCACGGGACCCCAGGAGACCCCCCUUUUACUGCAGAAUGGAUUUGAACACUAGCACAGCUUAUAGCUACAUCCAGACGGCAAUGAGUCCCAUCAUCUUUGCUGUGACUCAACCGAAGCACUGAACCCUUGACCUGUUUCAUGUUUGGUCUUGACCUUUAAUGUACGUGUGUACAUCACGUCUUGCUCCACACGUCAGACGCUGGAGGUUACUAUUUAUCCCACCAUAUUGGAACAGAACUGAGGCUCAUACCGAGGGCACGUGAGGGUCAUAUGGUUGCCGAAGGGUGAAGCUGUAACAGACACUCAGUGAA
rnacentral:lncRNA from 1 species